AGAAGACGAAGAGCUGGAAUAGAGCUCGCCUCGGCUCUGCUGGCCUUGGCUGCAGCUCUUCCAGAAACCCGGGGCGCCCACAGAAGAAUCUCUUACCUGGGCUCUCUCUUCAGGGAUGACAUCAUCGGCUCACACCAGUCUUCCAGGACCACCUUCUGGAUGCCAAGGCUGCUGCUCGAGUACCUGCUGUGCACCUCUACCUCCUGAGCCAAGGAGCACGGAUUCCAGGAACCCACUACCAUACAGAGCAACUCCUUGUGGACCCCCCUGGGAUCAGGACAGCGAGGGACAAGCGACAAAGAGGAUCAUCAGUGGCCAGCUAGUUUCUCUGGGGUUCAAACCUUGAACCAGUGCCCUAGUGAGGGGGCACUGGCCAUGGCCCUUGACCUUUGCUCUGCUUGUGUCUUGAGUCUGAGCCCUUUCCUGUACAUCUGUGCUCGUGUUCAUCUGCUAGUGAACUGGAGUGCUGCCCUCCCCGAGGAGGGUCGUCCCUUGUGACUGAUCAUGCUGUCCUAACAAUGUCCUGAGCAAAAGGGUCCCUUUGGGAACCUCUCAGGAGGGGGACCCGGGUCAGGGGCGACCAGCAUCUUGCUGGCAACUCCGUGGGUGGGGUGGGGUGGGGUGCUUCCUUCUGGAAUGAGCACGUGGCUGACCCCCCAAGGCAUGUCCCCUCCCCCUCCUCCACCCACCUUCUCGGAGAUGUCCCUUUUGGGGUAGUGGGGACAUUAGGAGCAACCUCCUAGGGUUGUUGUGAGAAUUAAAUGAACUGCAGCAGCCUGAGGCAGGGCUGGGCAGAGACCUCAGCACAUGUUUGUUGAAAGGUUUGCAGGUGGAUCUAGUCCUCCCGUUCAUGGCUCAUGUGUCUCAACCAUUCUCUCGCAGACUCCUGCAGCCCCUAUGCCCAGGGCUCUCCUUGCGCCAGCCCCGGCUUCUCGAGGCCUGUCUACACUCGCUGCUUUCCUUCCUCACCUCCAAUUUCCCCUCCAACCCACUGCUUCCUGACUCGCUCUUCUCCAUCGAACGGCUCUCGCUCAGGUUUAAGGCUUGGCUUGCUGGCCCUGGAGAUCCCGUCGCCGUCUUCGUCGAACUCGAAAUCCUAGCCAUCGUCCUUCCCUGGCCUGUCGCGUCUUCCUGUGCCAUUUGCUGUUGUGCUCAGGUUCCACGAGCUGCCCAUCUCCACAGAAGAGCAGCUGGCAUUGCCCACCGGCCAUGCCGGCUGAAGAAAAGAAGACUGAGGACCCCAGGAUGCCCAGCGCGAGGACCCCAGGAAGCCCAGCGCGAGGACUCCACCCACGACGCCCAGCGCGAGGACUUCACGCACAACACGUUGCAACCCUCCUGGAUUAGGCCAAAGCCAUCAUCUGGAAUCCUGCGUGGGACCCUGGACACACGGACACAGACACCUGCCCCCAGGACCCUCCAACUGUAAAUCCCUCUACAGCCACGGGGACGCCUUGCACAUUUCCUGUGGGACAUGCUGGACCCAAGACUCUGGACCCUGGCCUCCCCUUGAGUAGAGAGACCCACCUACUGACUGAUGAACUGCGCUGACCCUGGGGUCAGGCAUGUGGCCUUGAUCCCUACCCAUGGACCCUGAGACUUGGGGGGGUGGGAGAAAGGCUGUUGUGUCUUCACUGUUGAGUCUACAUCUGUGAAAUGGGCUCAGGUUCCUACCUCACAGGGCUGUUGUGAGGCAGCCGCAAUGUGCUUAGAAGCAUGGGGCCUAGUGGCUCAUGGUGCUUUCAAUAAAUUUCUUGUUUUAACUAAAGC
rnacentral:lncRNA from 1 species